UAUACUUCUUGCAUAGAUAAAGAUUAAAAACCACUGGUGUGCGGUCUUUAUCUAUGCUUCUAGUUCUAGCUUAAAAUCCAAGUCAAUUCAGAAGAUGUCAACACCUAAAUAGCCCCCAGGUGGCGCGAGUGUCUUCGUGGGACUAAAACCGGCAAACCGCCAUUUUUCUUUCCGAGACCGGUGAGACAGAGUCGGCUGCAGUGCUGGUGAUCAAUCACAAUCAUUAGUUCCUACAAGAUGUCGAAUGCGAAAUUACUGUUUGACGUUCGCCACGUUAAACUUGGAAGAAAAUUGAUUGAAAUUGUAGAGUUAAUUCAAUUCAUGGAUCUUUAAAAAGGUUAUAAAGAGACUCCAUUCUCAGCACGUGAUCGAUCCUGUUCACCAUGCUGUUCACGUUUAUUAGAUAAAUUUACCUCGCCAAACAUGUGCAGAAAGAUUCCGUGAAAAGGUUAUCCUAUCAAAACUCAGUAUCAAGACUGAAGAAACAUGAACAACUGAAGUAGUUAUUUCAAUCAACUUUCUAAUUGUUUAUCGUGUAUGUUUGCGUAAUGCUGUCCGUUGCGGUACGUUGUUGCAGCCUAUGCUGGUGAUAAAUCUUUCUGCAUCACAUUCAAUUGGCUGUUACUUGGUGCUGGUGUCGUGUUACCGAAGUUGCAUUAUUAUUUUAUGAAAUUGGCAUUGUGUCAAUGAAUUUUACCGGUAAUAUGUUGAUAAGAAACAAAAAAAAAAAUGUGGCGUUGUUUAUGUAAAAAAAAAUAAUAAAUAUGUUUUGGGAUUGGAGGGGGGAUAUUUAAAAUUUGUAUAAAACACGUAACUUAAUAACCCUACAAACAUAUCCCUACCAAUGAAUCUAUAAUUCCAACAAACUUUUGAAUAUUUAUUCAGACCCCAUAAACAUAUCCACCAACUCAAAUUAGUACCUUAAACCAUAUUAAAUAAUGUUAAAACCUACCAAUGUAAUAUUUGUAAUGAAUAAAAAUUUUCUUACCAGGAAA